UCUUCCAUCUCCAUAAACUAAUCUAUUGAAUUAACCCAAAAGAACAAAGUGUCUGUGAUCAAUCCCAAUGACUAAAGUGGAUCCAAUACUUCAACUAGAGCUUUCUUAUUAUUUAUUUCUCUUUUAUUUUAUUAUUCGUUUAUUUUAAUUGCUUUUAGUAGUUUAUUAAUUAAAUCAAUCUCAACCCAUUUUACUUUUAUUGCAAUUUAUUUUUAUCUCAUUUUUUUGUUUAUCUCAUUUGAUCCCACUUUCAGUAUUUAUCUCAUUUUUAGUUUAUUAUUGUUUUCUUGGUCUUGAUAAGAGAAAUAGGUGAGUACUCAAUUCCCUGUGGAUUCGAUCCUUUCACCACUAUCUGCAGUUGUAAAUUGUUGAUAACCAGAAAGGUUAUUUUUGGCCGGCUUCGACAACCGCUCUGUCAUCUAGCUA
rnacentral:lncRNA from 1 species